rnacentral:rRNA from 1 species
AUACGGAGGAUGCGAGCGUUAUCCGGAUUUAUUGGGUUUAAAGGGUGCGUAGGCUGUGCUGCAAGUCAGUGGUGAAAGACCUGCGCUCAACGCAGGAAGUGCCAUUGAUACUGCAGUGCUGGAGUACCCCUGCCGUGGGAGGAAUGAGUGGUGUAGCGGUGAAAUGCAUAGAUAUCACUCAGAACACCGAUUGCGAAGGCAUCUCACGAAAGGGCAACUGACGCUGAGGCACGAAAGCGUGGGGAUCAAACAGGAUUAGAUACCCUGGUAGUCCACGCAGUAAACGAUGAUAACUAACCGCUGGGUCGUAGUGAUUCAGUGGCCAAGCGAAAGCGAUAAGUUAUCCACCUGGGGAGUACGUUCGCAAGAAUGAAACUCAAAUGAAUUGACGGGG